AAAGUCCCGCAAGGGGCAAGUAGAGUGGCAAACGGGUGAGUAACGCGUGGGCGACCUACCUUCGAGUGGGGGAUAACCUUCCGAAAGGAGGGCUAAUACCGCAUGACAUCCUGUGUUUAGAUACACGGAAAUCAAAGCCGGGGAUCGCAAGACCUGGCGCUUGGAGAGGGGCCUGCGUCCGAUUAGCUAGUUGGUGGGGUAAUGGCCCACCAAGGCUUCGAUCGGUAUCCGGCCUGAGAGGGCGGACGGACACACUGGAACUGAGACACGGUCCAGACUCCUACGGGAGGCAGCAGUAGGGAAUUGUUCGCAAUGGGCGCAAGCCUGACGACGCAACGCCGCGUGGAGGAUGAAGACCUUCGGGUCGUAAACUCCUUUCGACCGAGAUGAAUACUCGUUUAUCUAAUACUUAGACGAGCUGACAGUAUCGAGGGAAGAAGCCCCGGCUAACUCCGUGCCAGCAGCCGCGGUAAUACGGGGGGGGCAAGCGUUGUUCGGAAUUACUGGGCGUAAAGGGUUCGUAGGUGGCCGGUUAAGUCAGACGUGAAAUCCCUCAGCUCAACUGGGGAACUGCGUCUGAGACUGAUCGGCUUGAGUGCAGGAGAGGAAUGCGGAAUUCCAGGUGUAGCGGUGAAAUGCGUAGAUAUCUGGAGGAACACCGGUGGCGAAGGCGGCGUUCUGGACUGCAACUGACACUGAUGAACGAAAGCCAGGGGAGCAAACGGGAUUAGAUACCCCGGUAGUCCUGGCCCUAAACGAUGAAUGCUUGGUGUGACGGGUAUCGAUCCCUGUCGUG
rnacentral:rRNA from 1 species